UCCCCUCGUAUUUCCCAAUUUACCCUCUUUGUCUGCCUUCCUCCAGCUUCUCUGAUGUUGAAUCCUAGCCUUGCAUUGGAAAUCAUGGAGUUCGUGGGCGCCAAGGUCAGGAAAACUCCUUUUCAUGCCAGAUCCGUCUAUUCUCCACCUCAUAGAUCGAUCGCUAGUGUUGAUUCCUCGGCACCUGAGUAUUCGGUGCUAGUUCAGCCGCUUCGGGUAGCAAGUUCGAUGGGAUCCGUACCUGUGUUGAAGUGACCUAGCAAUGGUUAUAGAAAGCUGAAUCAUAAAUAACCCGAUAAUGCGCUACUUCCAAUGACCGAAUUGAAAAAGAAGGGCAACAAGGCAUCCUUUGAAAAAAGUAAGAGUUGUCUUGAAAGUUCUGAUGAAUCUUAUGACAAGCAACUUUAUGGAUGGUAUGAUGCUAUUCAGAGACAGAUUCGAAGAUCUCAAUACCAAAUGCGAUACAGUCAACCAGUUUGAAUAACAGUUUCCAUUGUUGUUCUCCUUUGCUUGAUUGUUUUAAUUGCGAUUCGCGCUAUGUAGAAGGAAGAAGGCUUAGACACACGUGUUGAUAUCAGUUUGUAGCUGGCAAGAGCAUGAGGAAUGACAAGCUUUUGCUUCAAGCUAAUUUAACAUUUCAAAUGCUUUAGGGGAUUUAAUAUUUAUAGCCAACCAUAGCAUUUGCUCAGUUAUUCAUUCGUUGCUAAAAGGUUCUCCGUUUCUUCUUUUUUUUUCCCCUUCCUAUUUUAAAAUUGUUCAUCAAGAGCUCUCUCUUGUAUUGGUAUCACAAGUCAUAAGAUGCAUGAGAUGGAGAUGAAAGAGGGAAUGAACAUGUUAGAUGUGAUAUAUACUAUUGUACCUUCUUGAUGAUCUUUGGUUUUGUACCGAAUCCUUUUGUAACAUGUACAUAUUCAAGAUAAUGUUUUAUUACUCUUUUCACUCAA